GCUUGCCUUGACGACGACCGGCGCACGGGUGCGUAACGCGUAUACAAUCUACCUUGUACUGGGGGAUAGCCUUUGGAAACGAAGAUUAAUACCCCAUAGUAAUUAAAAACGGCAUCGCUUUUAAUUUAAAGGUUACGGUACAAGAUGAGUAUGCGUCCUAUUAGUUAGUUGGUAAGGUAACGGCUUACCAAGACGACGAUAGGUAGGGGUCCUGAGAGGGAGAUCCCCCACACUGGUACUGAGACACGGACCAGACUCCUACGGGAGGCAGCAGUGAGGAAUAUUGGACAAUGGGCGAGAGCCUGAUCCAGCCAUGCCGCGUGCAGGAAGACUGCCCUAUGGGUUGUAAACUGCUUUUAUAUAGGAAGAAACACUCCCUCGUGAGGGAGCUUGACGGUACUAUAAGAAUAAGGACCGGCUAACUCCGUGCCAGCAGCCGCGGUAAUACGGAGGGUCCGAGCGUUAUCCGGAAUCAUUGGGUUUAAAGGGUCCGUAGGCGGGAUGUUAAGUCAGUGGUGAAAGUUUGCGGCUCAACCGUAAAAUUGCCAUUGAUACUGACGUUCUUGAAUUAGUAUGAAGUGGUUAGAAUAAGUAGUGUAGCGGUGAAAUGCAUAGAUAUUACUUAGAAUACCAAUUGCGAAGGCAGAUCACUAAUACUAUAUUGACGCUGAGGGACGAAAGCGUGGGGAGCGAACAGGAUUAGAUACCCUGGUAGUCCACGCCGUAAACGAUGGAUACUAGCUGUUUCGGUAGUAAUACUGAG
rnacentral:rRNA from 1 species